GGGGGUGAAAGGCUUCGACCUAAGAUAGAAUUUAAGAGUGGCAUGCGGAGGUUGUCGGGAGGCCUCCUUAAACACCUGGCAAAUAAUUAGUUGCUAACGAACAGUUAGCCCUGGCAGCUUAAUAGCAGCCACGUCAACCGGCCUUUCCUACGGGGCCGGACCUGGCGCCGAUAGUGGGAUAGUCCCAAUCCUUUUCUUUCCGGGUGAGGGGCGAAAUUGAAGGGAAGAUGGCUUCUCGAGGAUCUCGUCCGAAGGAGCCGAGAGAAGCGAGACGCAAAUUUCGGAAUAAGCAUGUAGAGGCUCUUAUUUGACAUCGUAGGGACGCGGGUUCAAUUCCCGCCACCUCCACCA
rnacentral:tmRNA from 1 species